AUUUUGCAGGGAUGAUGAAUCAAUUAGAUGUGUGAUGGAAAAAAAAAAUUCCACAUGAACGCAACUAUUGAGGCAUAUUUAUGCUGACCUGUCAUAU